ACACUUUCCACAGUUUCUUUACAAAGCUAUUGUGGACAUGCUGAAAAAUAAAUACUAUUUUGGACUUCCCACAUCCUGAGCAUCAGGAAGUUUCAGGAAGAGUCGUUUCUGACUUUUCGUGAUCUCAUGGCUCAGUCCAGUCCAUGCCAGAGCUUCCUGUGAGAGAUCUGGUGCCACAACAUAUCCCAUUAUUCCAUGAGAUGGAGCCAUGACAAUUCAGCUCAAUGACAUUUCUUUCUCCCACCCUGGAUAUUCCAUACACUCCACUUGCCUCACCUUUAACCCUAACCCUAAACCUACACCUGUUGAUAAACUCUACAAGUUAGCUGGCAUUGCCCCUCCUGACGUGCGAUGGGAAGUUGCUGCUAACUGCGAGAGAAAAAAGGUCAAACAUUGUGAAAGCCACCCACUGCAUGACUACCAGCCUCCUCCCACCAGACUCAAAUCAAGGAAGGGCUUCAUGAGAACCACCACUCCUCUUGAUGUUCCCCCAGCAACAGCAAGGGUGUCCCUCUGGGCAGCUAAACCUGGCAAUUCUAACUGGAUGCCCCCCCCAUGAGGGUCUUCCUCCAGGGGCAAACCGAGAAUGGGCAACUUGGAAGUCCCUAAACAGACUGAGAAGCGGAGUGGGCAGAUCAAAAGACAACCUGGCAAGAUGGCAUUACCUGGAGGAAUCCUCCACCUUGUGUGACUGUGGAGCAGAACAAACAACUCCGCAUAUGUAUGCUUGCCCACAAUGUCCUGCCUCAUGUACGGAGGAGGAGUUGUUUAAAGCUACGGACAAUGCGGUUGCUGUUGCCCGCUUUUGGUCCAAAACUAUUUAGUUGCUUGUGAUUUCCUUUUUUUCCCCAUCAUUUUAAAAUGUAUUUGUUAUGCAAUGCUUUUGACAUGAAAUAAAUAAAACCUAUAACAGACCUCUGAA